rnacentral:lncRNA from 1 species
CUCUCCCUCACCCUUUGCCUCUCUCCACUUAAAUACUUUAAAAACAAUAGAAUAAAAUAAAAAAUGCAGAUGGGAUUUCCCCUCAGUAUGCCCAAGCCAUACCUACACACUGCUCACCAUUAUCAUCCUACAGGGAUAGAAAACAAGAGCUGGCUCCUGCAUCCCCUGAUGAUUUGAAAGACAACAGCAGGAUUAUAAAUUGCAUUCAUAUGUUCAAAGCUCUGUUGUGUGCCAACUCUCUCAGAAUGAGCAAAAUUAAGAAAAGGAACCCAGAAGCACAUUCGUGACAGCUAAAUAGGAUUUAGAAGCCAAGGGAACCCUGGCAAAGCAUGAAAUUAAAGCAUCCUACCAGGCUGAAUGAAAACAGUUGUCUACUAUUCAAGUCACUGCACCUGCUCUAAACUCCAGAGAUACAGACCACAGCUGCAUCCCCCAAAUGUAUCCUAGAAUUCUCAAGAGUUGGCUGACACAUAAAAGGUCACCCAAUGAGGAAAGUCAAACUGCAGUUCCCCUCAUAAGGAUGAUUUUGGCUACUUGGCAACAAGAAAGAGCUCUAGCGACAGGAUUCUUCAGGGAGGAAAGUUUGUCAACUACCAGAAAGUCGUUGGAAGAGAACAGUUCAGAAAAUGCAGUUGGCAAAGUCGACACCAACAUAUUUGCAGGGUUCCAUGAUGAAAAUAGGACGUCGGUCAAAUAAAGCCACUCGCUACCCACCCUUUGGGGACUCAGCUGAGGCAUUACCUGCUCCAGAAAUUCUUCUGUGAUGCCUCUUUCCUGCCCCCCAGGCUCCAUAUCCAUGGCGACCCAGGCUUCCCUUAUCACAGGUCUUAUCACCAUGUAGAGAAAUUUCCUACUUAGAUACCUGCUUUCGCAUAGACUGGAAGCCUCUGCAGGCUGGGGUCUGUCUCCCCCUUCCUGUGUCCAUCCAGAGCACCAUGCCUAGCACAAAGCAGGUUCUCUGCAACUGUUAGUUGAGCUCAAGUGAACUAAGAC